CCUACGGGAGGCAGCAGUGAGGAAUAUUGGUCAAUGGGCGCGAGCCUGAACCAGCCAAGUCGCGUGAGGGAAGACGGUCCUAUGGAUUGUAAACCUCUUUUGUCGGGGAGCAAAAGACGCCACGCGUGGCGUUCCGAGAGUACCCGAAGAAAAAGCAUCGGCUAACUCCGUGCCAGCAGCCGCGGUAAUACGGGGGAUGCGAGCGUUAUCCGGAUUUAUUGGGUUUAAAGGGUGCGCAGGCGGAAGAUCAAGUCAGCGGUAAAAUUGAGAGGCUCAACCUCUUCGAGCCGUUGAAACUGGUUAUCUUGAGUGAGCGAGAGGUAUGCGGAAUGCGUGGUGUAGCGGUGAAAUGCAUAGAUAUCACGCAGAACUCCGAUUGCGAAGGCAGCAUACCGGCGCUCAACUGACGCUCAUGCACGAAAGUGUGGGUAUCGAACAGGAUUAGAUACCCUUGUAGUC
rnacentral:rRNA from 1 species